UGCCAAAUUAUGAAAGGAAAUAUAGAGAGAGCAAAAGGAAACAAAGAAAAAAUAAAAAUUUUGAAAAUAUAGCAGAUGUAAAAUGACUAAAUUGGCUAUGUAUUAAAAGACAAAAAUAUUCUUUUUUGAGGUACCUGGUAAUCGGUACCUCUUCCAAAGUGACCUGCUAUUGCAGGUCACAAUUUAAAAAAAACUAAAUCUGAGUCAUUGAAUAUGCGUGAAUGAACGGUAACAAAAAAAUAUAUAUAUAUAUUUAACCUAUAGUUAACUAAAUUUUUCUAACGGAUUCUAACGGUAUUCUUAGAAUUUUUGUAAGUACAAUAUAUGAAAGUUGAACUUUAUAGAAAU
rnacentral:lncRNA from 1 species